AAUAACAAAAAAUAACAAAAAAAGCAAAGCUCCGAACGUUCAACUAUUUAGAGGUCCCAAUAAAUUAAUCGUAUACACAUUUAUUGUCGUCUUAUUUCUUCCACAAUUUGAUGUCUGAUUUGCUAUAAUGAAACUAUUAAUUAGACUUUUCCAUAUGUUAAUCAACCCCAAAUCAAUAAUCAACCCCAAAUCAAUGCUGGCUAUACAUUACAAAAUAAAUUUCGCUGUCACUAAGUCUUGAGCUGGAAAGUAAAACAAAAAACUGCACUAUACGGGUAUAACGAAUGUCCAUGUCCGUUGGAAUUACCAUUAACAGUUCUGAAUCAUGCUUAUUAUAUUAAUAGCAUUUCUGGGAGCUUUGAACGAGGUAAUAUCCGCCGUAUGAUGAAUUAUGACAACAUUUCUUUUUUCUUGAGUUGUAGUUGUGAUAUCCACAGCAGGCCGAACCUUUAGAUUUCAACAACAGAUUGUAGCCACAACAAAUAUGAGUAGAGGGAUUGUAGUUGAUUGAUCCACAACAAUAAAUGCCCUUCGAUUUCAGAAGGAUAUGACCUUUGCAGCACACACGGCUUCUCUUGUCAUAGAUACUUGAGGAACAGC